rnacentral:rRNA from 1 species
GACGAACGCUGGCGGCGUGCUUAACACAUGCAAGUCGAACGGGGUAGCAAUACCUAGUGGCGGACGGGUGAGUAACGCGUAGGUAAUCUGCCCAUCGGUGGGGGAUACCCAACCGAAAGGUUGGCUAACACCGCAUACGCUAGCCGGUUGUAAUACCGGUUAGGAAAUGUUUACAGCCGAUGGAUGAGCCUGCGUCUGAUUAGCUAGUUGGUGAGGUAACGGCUCACCAAGGCGACGAUCAGUAGCUGGUCUGAGAGGACGAUCAGCCACACUGGAA